AACGAACGCUGGCGGCAUGCCUAACACAUGCAAGUCGAACGAGACCUUCGGGUCUAGUGGCGCACGGGUGCGUAACGCGUGGGAACCUGCCCUUAGGUUCGGAGUAACUCCCCGAAAGGGGUGCUAAUACCGGAUAAUGUCUUCGGACCAAAGAUUUAUCGCCUUUGGAUGGGCCCGCGUUGGAUUAGCUAGUUGGUAGGGUAAAAGCCUACCAAGGCGACGAUCCAUAGCUGGUCUGAGAGGAUGAUCAGCCACACUGGGACUGAGACACGGCCCAGACUCCUACGGGAGGCAGCAGUGGUGAAUAUUGGACAAUGGGCGAAAGCCUGAUCCAGCAAUGCCGCGUGAGUGAUGAAGGCCUUAGGGUUGUAAAGCUCUUUUACCCGGGAUGAUAAUGACAGUACCGGGAGAAUAAGCUCCGGCUAACUCCGUG
rnacentral:rRNA from 1 species